UAUAUAUUUACACACACACAUAUUUGUUUUUAUACUACUUUUUGAAAAGGGUUGUAUGUUUUCUGUAUGUUUAGUACUAUUGAACCUUCUUGUUAUUAUUUUAUUUGUGGGGGAAAAAAACUUGUUCUGACCAUGGACUCGAAGUAAGAUAAAGUUGAGCUGUUUUUAAUGAACAGCUACCGUAAAACAAUCUAAGCUGUCGCAAGCUACAGUCGUAGUGGCAACGAUCGCCAUGACGACCAGUUUCCAGCAACAACAAACGCACACGUGAAGCAGCAAUGGCGACCGCCGGCGAUGAGCGAGCAGCAGCGGAUGUUUUAAAAUCUCUCGCUCGCCAUUUGAACUGUCUAAACGACGACAACAAGAGCACGAGAAGGCGAGCUCUAGAAGCGGUGAAGAGAGAAACCGUCGAGCAGCGCUUGUCCAGCGGCGCGCUGCAGGAGCUUUUCGCCGGGUUGCUGAAGGCGCUGCUGAAAUGUCUGUCAGAUCCGGCGGAGACGUGCAGAGACGCGGCGAUUCAGAUCCUCGCGGGCUUUAUCAGAGCUGCCCCCAGACCAGAAGACGCUCUGCCCUACCUCAUGCCCGCGCUGGCGCAGAGGCUCGGCGGGAAGGAGAUCCUGGAGCCGGCGGAGGAGCUCAUGCUGGCUCUGAUGGAGACGCUGUCUCUGGUGCUGGAGGUGUGCGGCAGGCAGCUGGCCCCCUACCUGGAUGACAUGAUCAAGAUCCUGCAGAGGACCAUCACAGAUCCCUUUCCUGAAGUCAAGAAAGAGAGCUGUAAAUGUGCCAUCAGUGUUGCACAGAGCAUUCCUGAUCAUUUCCACCUGCAGGCUGAGAGUCUCCUGAAGCCGCUGCUGCAGACGAUUUCUCACCAGCAUUCCCAAGUGAGAGUUUCUGUCACACAGGCCGUUGGUGCAGUCAUUCAGCACAGCACAGGCAAGAACGUGGAUGACGUUUUGUCCCACUUGGCACAGAGAUUGUUUGACGACUCUCCACGGGUGAGGAAAGCUGUUACUAUAGUCGUGGGUGAUUGGCUUCUCCGUCUGCCGGACCGAUAUUCCUACUUCCACAAGCUCAUCCCGCUGCUUCUGAGCAGCCUGAGCGAUGAGAUCCCUGAAAUCAGGUCUCUUGCUGAGGACUUAUGGAAACAAGUAGGAUCUCAAUGGGAGAAGGAAAAUGAGGAUGAUCUGAAGGAUAAGAUGGACUUUCUGUUGCCUGCUCCUGUCCUCUACACAUCUGGAGUCGAGCGUCCCGGGCUGGGCUGCAGGGAGCUGGUGGUGAGGAAUCUGUCAAAGCUGCUUCCUGCUGUGGGCCGGGACAUUGGUGACUGGUUAGUGCAGACGCGAGUGAAGACGGCCCAGCUGCUGCGGGUGCUGCUGCUGCAUGCUGAAGAUCACUGCACACAACACCUGCAGUCACUGCUCACGGUUCUGUACCGCGCCUGCGCAGACCCUGAGACUGACGUCAGAGCGCAGUGUUUGGAGUCAGCAAAGCUGUUGGGAGGGUUUGUCAGUCCAGAGGUUUACCUCAAGUUGCUCCUGCCUCACGUUGAAGACUCCACUUCCUGCUCGUCUGCUUCUCCCUGGGCUCCUCUCGUGGUUCUGGGGUCCGUAUUAAGAGGGAGUUCAAGGGAGGUGUUAGAACCCCACCUGAUAAAAAUUGGAGACACUCUUUCACACCCUGAAGUCUGUCAGGGGUCCCAACAGGCGCAGUAUCUGGAUCAGUUGUUGGUGUGUGUGGACGCUGUGCUGUGUGUGUGUCAGGUGGACUGUGCUGUCAUCAGUCUGCAGCUGCUGAAGGUCCUGGUGUCAGUUCAGAGCCUCACCUCACAGCAGGAACAAUGCAGCAAGGCAGAGGAGUCAGUGAGGUGUUUGUGUGAGGCGCAGGGUCUCAGUGGAGCGUGUGAGCUGUACCGGCAGCACAUGACAGAUCUGCUGCAGUGGCUGUCUGACUCCCAUCACACCUGGACCAGUUACUCCAUUCAGAAAACACAGCUGGAGAUCAUCGCCAUGCAGUCCGGUCCAGUGGUGGGAGAGUUUCUUCCAGCCCUCUUGCCUCUGUUAAAGAGUUGCCUUGAACCCAGUCGAGACCCUGAGAUGAGACUUCACAUCUUCACCAUGCUGUCCAAACUACUGCUGGACUCCAGCAACACUCUGGACUCACAGGGGAGGUUUGCUGAAUACAUGGAGCUGGUCCUGCAGGAUUUGCUGCUGCCUAAUCUGGUGUGGUGUUCGGGUCGAUCUGCUGCGGCUGUCAGGACCGCUGCUCUCAGCUGUCUGUUAGCUGUCCUGCAUGGGGAGGCUUUCCCAGCGGAGCGAGUUCUGUCGGUGGAGGAGACUCUCAGCACUCAGCUGAUCUCUGCGCUGGAGGAAGACUCUAAACUGGCUCGUCUUCUGGCCUGCAGAUCUCUUCACUCACUGCUGAAACUCACAACACAGCGGCUCAACACAGACUCACUCAACAAGAUCUAUCCAGAGCUGCUGAAGCGUGUGGACGACAGCAGUGAAGACGUCCGUGUCGAAGCGCUGAAGUCUCUGAGCACGUGGUUCUCAUCUCUGGGGAAGAACUAUGACACUCAGUCGUGCCGCCCACACCUAGAGUUCCUGUUCCAGCAGCUGCUGCUCUACAUGGACGACCCCGACACCAAAAUCCAGGAUUUAGUCCUCGGUAAGGACUUUUUUGGCAGCGGUAUUUCAUUUCUGCUGUAAUCAUCUGAUGUUUUGACUUGAAUUGUGACUGAUGACAGUUAUAUCCGUGUCGACACUGUUGUGAUGUAAGAUAAAUCUCUUCCUGCUUCAUAAGGAAGUGAUUCAGCUCAGUGUUAAUGGUCUACGGUCCACUUCUCUGAUCCUCCCCAUUCUUCGCUUCAAAGAGCCUCAUUAAUCCUGCAUUUUUACACUCUCUCCAUCACACGCUCCUCUGCUACUGGCCUGCCUCCAGCGGGGUCAUGGGCUGUCAACACCUUCCCAUAAUCCUGUGUCAGUGUGUCCUAGUGCAUACGCACAUGGAGUACUGUUCAGAAACCCUUCAUACCCCCUGAUUACAGUUUGAACCCCCCAAAGGACAUUGAAAAAGUACAUAUAGUAAGUAGGCCAUAAUGUACAGUCAUCCGGUUGAUAUCGCAGAAUAAGCCCUGACAGGAUAACCGGGAUCCCUGAGGGGAAAUAAAUGCCGUUAAAUCAUAUUAUAUAGUUUAGCA
ensembl:lncRNA